rfam:Oryza sativa (indica cultivar-group) chromosome 4, whole genome shotgun sequence.
AAUAAGUACAGUUUUACACUAUUCACGUUUAACGUUUGAUCGUUCGUUUUAUUUAAAUUUUUUUAUGAUUAGUAUUUUUAUUGCUAUUAGAUGAUAAAACAUGAAUAGUAUUUUAUGUGUGAAUAAAUAUUUUCAAAUUUUUCAUAAUUUUUUAUAAUAAGACGAAUGGUCAAACAUUAGGCACGAAUAUAUACAGCUACACUUAUU